GUUACACAACAUGUCUUAAUCUUCUUUCCUCUUCCAUUAACGUGGCGUUUACCUGAUGUCACCGACUUUGUAACUCAAUCAUAUUAGGAUUGGUGUCGCCAUAUCUAAUAGCUAGCGAACAUCAUAAACGAUGAAGGAAGCUCAUCGCUUCAACCUCCCUUCACUCAUUAUGUAAUUCAUGAGUAUCAGAAACCUUACAUUUAUCGACACCUCCUUCCACUUUCUCCACUCCUGCUGUUUGUCGCCUGCCACCGCCUUUAUCCUCUCAAUUAGGUCAAUUUUUGUAUUGAUUUUAUUCAGAUUCGGGAAUAUACCUUAAGGAACAGGGAAGGGUAUGGGUGUAAUAAUCGACCGAUUGGUGGAUUAGUUUACCGAGGGUUAGUGUACUCUCCUUCUUCCACAAAGGAUCCUCUCUAUUGUCAUUUCUUCUUUUCCUCCCAUCAAAACCUCCACAUCCUCUCAUCAUCGGCUUCUUAUCCAUCGUUGUCUACUCCCUUCGGUUUCCAAUCGAAGCUUGUGGUAGAAGAAGACGAUGGGCCAGCAGUAGCACGCCCAAUCAUCUCUACAGCCGUGACUCUACUUGAUUAUGGUGCCAGGAAUGUUCAAAGUAUUAGAAACACAAUCCGAUAUCUGGGUCUCGAUAUCAAAGAUGUUGAAACACCGGAAGACAUUGUGAAUGCAAAGAGUAUUAUUGUUCUUAGGGUUGGAGCAUUUGCUGCAAUGAUAGACAACAGGUAAGUUUUACACAUCAUAUUUACAAUGUUUUUUCAUCCAUUAACAAACAAAAUUAAGAUUUAUUUGAGAGAUUCAGCAGCUAGAGAUGAGUUUCCUCAUUGUGUUUAGCGGGUCAAAGGCACCAAUGUCGGCCCAUGGUGAGUUUCCCAUGGAGAUUCUUCGAACCAGCAAACCGAGAUUUAUUUGAGAGAUUCAGUAGCUAGAGGUGAGUUUCCUCACUGUGUUUAACGGGUCGAAGGCACCAACAUCGACCCAUGGUUUAUUAUGAUUAGGAUGUUAGUUGUCUGUGUGACUUUUGCAUUUAAGAUAUUGAUAUGUAUAUUGGGCAUGGCCCGAUGACUAUCAUGUAUGCUAUUUAUCUUUGUGAUUAUUGCAUGUGUUUAUAUGAUUAUAUGUUUAUAUGUAUAUCGGGCGGCGUCUGAUGCCAGGCAGGGUCUGAUGACUGCCAGAUUUGUUCUGAGCGGGGCCUGGUGACGGGCAAUGCCCAUUAUAUGUUUGAUAUGUAUGGUAUGUGGUAUUUGGGAACUCACUAAUUUUUGUGCUUACUAUUAGGAAUAAAUCUCUUAUGUAAAUUAGUUAUUUUGUUUCCUUUUAUUCAUGUUGUAAUUGUAUAUAUAUUUGUUUCAAUACUUCAAUAAUAUUGAAGGGAAAUCAUUCUCACAUGG